UGGAUCUUAUAGAGAAUUUCCUACAGGAUUAAGAUGGUUGUGUUGGGUAGCAUUUCCUUUGAGUUCUAUACCAAAUGAUUUUACUUUGGAGAACCUUGUCUUUCUUGAAAUGCAGUACAGCAGCUUGAGGCAAAUGUGGAACGGAACAAAAUUUCUUCCAUCAUUGCAAAUGCUUGAUGUCAGCCAUUCUCAUGACCUUACUAAGAUCGCUGACUUCUCUCUUUGCCCCAAUCUAGAAACACUUAUUCUUUUAGGUUGUCGAAGCCGGAUUGACGUCCAUGAAUCCAUCGGAAACCUCAAGAGACUUGUUUACUUGAAUAUGAAAGAUUGUGAAAGCAUUAGGAUGCUUCCAAACACCAUUUCUAGGCUUAAAGUGCUUGAAACUCUUAUAAUAUCUGGCUGCUCAAAUCUUAAUGAAUCUUCAAUGAAGAUGAUGAGGAGCAUGGAAUCUCUGAAAGUAUUUGAAGCAAAUAGAAUUCCAAUAAAUCAAUUACAGACUACUACUGGGGAGAAUACCAUUGAAUCAUGGCCUCAAAGAAGUCCUUGUAUAUUGAGUUCUUUACCAUGCUCUUUAGUAUCUUUAAGUUUUAGUGGAUGCAAUCUUUAGGAGGAUGCUUUUCCUAUCGAAUUUGGUAACCUAUCCUCAACAUUACAAAGACAAAAUCUAAGUAACAAUCAAAUUUGUAGCCUACCAAUUUGUGUCAGAGGUCUUACCAAGCUCAAUGAACUCUCCUUUUCCAACUGUUCAAGACUCAAACUACUUAUACCAAAAGUAGAAGGUGAACUGAAUUUGGAAGAUUGCACAUCAUUAGAAAGAAUAACGUAUCAAUGCAGUUUGUGCCAAGCAAAGACCACCUUUUUGGGUUACAACCGAAAUCUAGUUGAGUGGGAGUAUGAGUAUAAGUUAGUACCCACUGGAACAGUAGUUGAUAAAGAAAUGGUCAACCAUUUGGGCUUGUGUAACUUGGAUUCUACGCCAACCAUCAAGAUACGGCAUCCUUGCAUGUACGGUUAUGAUCUGUGUCCUAUCCAGGUGCGCAUACCUGCCUCAUUCGAACACCAGCUCUAAGCUUUAUUAACGAUGUUGUUUACUAAUACAUGAUUUGCAAUUUUGCAUAUAUGUCAUAUAUGGACUAUAUGAAUAUGGCAUAUUCAGCACAUUUCUUCUUGGGAAUGAGAUUCCAGGCAAUUUCAGCCAUAAAGUAGUGACGGAUCCUCCUCAAUAUGUUUCACUGUGCCUUCACUUCCUAAUCUCAGAAUUCGAGGCUUGAACUUCUUCGUCGUCUAUGCAAAUUCUGAAAAUGGUCCUCCUAGCGUGUUUGAUGAUCAUUUACCUACUGCACUAAUUACUAAAGUCAGAAACAAGAGCAAGGGUCGGACCUGGAUCUACGGCCCGCGAUCCUAUGGAAUUCCAGAUUUCCAGGUGCAGGAGAGGACAUGAUAUGGUUAAGCCGUUGGAGUUUUCUGGAGAACCAAUUCAAAGGUGGCGAUCAAGUAGAUGUUUCAGUAUCUAUAGAACCUCAGCGUCAUGUAAAGGAGUGGGGCAUCAAGCUUGUAAUGGAGGAGCAACAACGACACAUGACAAGUAGUAGUAGUACCAGUGAGGAUCCUUGUGAUGGAGAUAUGUCAAGACGUGAGGUCUUGCCGGGGAUAUACUUGUUCUGCUAAUGGGUACCAGCUGGAAGAAUGGAAGAUAUUGCCUUACGUAGGCCGACUUGGUUUAUUGACCUGAUUGGAGAUCCCUAUGAAGAUAUAUACAGGCGAUGACAAUGAAGACGAGCAACAAGAUGAACAUCACACACUUGUACCAGCAACGAGUAGUGACGGCGACAACCACCGGGAUCUCAGAAAGUAGAAGGUGCUCAGUUUGGCCGCUGUGUUUUUAAUUCUCUCCUUGUCCAUGCGCGCACUCCUCUCUUUCUCAUCCAAACAGACAUGCAUGGAGUCUGCUUUGGUUCCUACAUGAACUUGUUAGUAUUUGAUAAAGGUGAUCAUCUCUGGCGUGGAUUUGAUUAACUGGAAUAUUAAUUCUUUCCUUGGAUAUGUUAAUCAAAAAUUAAGAGUUGGAUGUGCCUUUUGCAUCAAACUAAUUAAGUUCUUGUUUAAGGAUAUCUCUAUUUUGUGUUUAAUCCAAACUCUAGGUUACUUGACCUAGUGGUAAUAGCGUUCAAUUAGAAGAAUCUAGAGAUUCUAUU